UGAAAUCAUCUCUUCCUGGUCUGAUAUCAUCCGGUUCUCCCAUUAGUCCCCUCUGCACUUUCUUUACCUUCUGUGAAAAUAUAUCCCAUCCCAUCUGUUUCCGUCUCUUAAAUAGUAAGUUGAGUUUUUUAGCAUUUGGGCGAAUGGUUCUCUUGUGGCCCAUAUGCAUACCUUCGUCCAGCUAAAACCUUGGCCAUGUUUCCAUUAUUGUUUGUAACAAAAACAUCACUCCCGUCACAUACGAUGAAAUCAAUUGCAGCCAAUCUUGAAGAGAACGGAAGGAACGGUUUCAAAUCAUUCCCAGCAAGCAUUUCUUUGGUGUAGUAGUUUGGAAAGAGAUCCCUCAGAGGCUGGAGAGUUUCUUCUCCCCCAUAUAUUUCUCCAGAAGCAACAUACAGGUACGUGUCAUUGCUAAAACCAAGAGCUCGGAGCAUCAAACCAAUUUCUUGAGGAGUCAGUGGACAUUUGCCCCUACUGCGCUCAUCUUUCAGAGUCUUACAGGUAGUGUAUCCCAUCUUUUCCUAAUUUCACCUAACUCCCUCCGUUCUUUAUCACCACCACCAUAGUAACAACCAGAAAAUGCAAGCAUGUCAGGCUCAAACCUGAGGAUGAACGGCAACGUAUCGUGAGCUCAUGCUCCUCAGCUUGCGCACCAAUUUCUCACCUAGAGUUUGUAUGGAAUUUGUAAAUCUUAAUGCAUGGAAAUUUACUCGGCAGCGUAACUUCUGCAAUUCUUCAUCAAGCUCGUUAGUGAGCCGAUAAUCAAACUUUGUUAGCUGCAAAGCCUGCAAAAUUAAACUGAUAGGCAAAACUUCAUCAAUGUAAAAAUCAGGCAUGGAUUUCCUAGGCGCACGCAUGGUCCAUGGGAGUUUAUCCAUUGACAUCAUCACCUCAUAAGGGAUUCUUUUGACAAUAGUUACAUCCUUUGAUAGGUAAGAGAUGAACCAGUCCACGUCAAAAAUGUCUCAACUUACCUAUCAUCCUUCCAGAAUGAGUGGUGAUCUAACUCAGGUACAACAAGUGUGGCAUUCAAUAUUCGGGCGACAACAACAGCAUCUUUGUACCCCUAUGCGCUGCUGAUUUAGUCCCCCGCUAGUACCAAUCAGCAAGUAACCAGUAGA
rnacentral:sRNA from 1 species